UUGGUCAUCAUAUAGAGGAUAUUAAAAUUGGAAUGGUUCAGAGAAGAUUAGCGUGGCCCCUGCAAAAGGAUGACAUGCAUAAUUAUGAAACAUUUCAUAUUUUU